rnacentral:rRNA from 1 species
UACGUAGGGGGCGAGCGUUGUCCGGAUUUAUUGGGCGUAAAGAGCUCGUAGGCGGUUUGGCAAGUCGGGUGUGAAAACUCCGGGCUCAACUCGGAGACGCCACUCGAUACUGCUAUGACUCGAGUCCGGUAGGGGAGUGCGGAAUUCCUGGUGUAGCGGUGAAAUGCGCAGAUAUCAGGAAGAACACCCGUGGCGAAGGCGGCUCUCUGGGACGGUACUGACGCUGAGACGCGAAAGCGUGGGGAGCGAACAGG